rnacentral:lncRNA from 1 species
CAGGGUCUGCUGGAACAUCUCGUAGAAACCCUGGUCCCCUGGCCCAGGGUGGGGCUGCUGGGGCUCUCCAGACUGCUGGCCCAGGUGGCCUCCACGUUGUCGUCAGUGAUAGGGGCAGGUGCUGACCCCAGGGCUCUGGGAGCAGGUGCAGUGGGGCCACAAGCCUAACCCUGAGGAGCCCUCAGCCCAGCCGAGGUCCCCAGCUAAGCCCCAUCACCCUGUCCCCCACCCAGCCUGGGGUCGCCGGUCUCUGAUCCCUACACCAGGUGCCCAUGUCCCCACGUCCUCUCUCCAGUGUGCCACACUGAGUUUCAGAGACAGAAGGGGAUCACAGGACGGAGAGCCCCCGAGUCCAGCAGCAGCACCUGCACCCCUCGCUGUGGUCCCCUCUGGCCUUGGAAGAGACUGGAGCUAGGUGGGGCGUGGGGGUCCCGGCCACCCACCACAGUCCGCCUCCAGCCCCAGGAGGCACCUCUCCCACCGUGUCCCAGCCCUUGGAGGUCCCUGACGUCCCGGGCUUGCCAAGGAGUGGGACGGCGGGUGGGCUGGUGCCGGGAGCUAUGAGCGUCACCUGGGCGCGGCCAGCAGGCCAUUUGCUCUGCCUCUCAGGACGGGGUCCCAGGAACUCCUCCUGUGUCCUCUGUGGUGUGGGUGCUGCUGGGGCCUCGGGAGCCCCUGCCCCAUCUGCCCCACCUCAUUUCAGCCACGUGCUGGGGGUCCCCAUGAGCAGCCCUGGGAUGCCACCAGCCACCCUGUAGCCUUGGGGACAGAUGCACCAAAAGUUGUCUAAAAUGAAAAGUCCUGCUGAGAGCCUCCUCGACAGCGCGUGCGGCCCCCGGGGACGCCCCUUCCCACAGCAGGGGGGGCUGUGCUCCUGUGGGCCGCCCCCUCCGCCUUCGACCCCAUUUCGGCUUCCUUCCUUCUGAAGGCCCGUCUCGGCCCAGGGCAGGGCUUCGAGACAGGAUUGGGGACUCAGUCCAGUGCACUUGGGGUGGUGGUCUUCUAGGCCCACCCUGAGAGCUGGAAGAGGGUCAUGGGGACCAGUGACCCACCCAGGUCACACGAGCCUUGUCCCCAGUGUGGCAGGGGCCGCUGGGGAGUUCGCUUAGGGAGCCAGGUGGGCCUUGCCUACAAGCCCCCUUCUGAGAGUGGACAUCUGCUCCAGUGCGUGGGGACAGGGAGAGCCUGUGGGAAAUGUCCACCAGAAACCCCAAAGAGCAAGUUCAGGAUGCGGAGGCCCAUCUGUGACUUCCCAUUCAACCAUGAGAGUCAUGUCUGACUUCUGAUUAAAGAACACCUGGCCCAGAGAUGCACGCCUGUGAUCCCAGCACUCGGGAGGCUCAGGCUGGAAGAUCACAAGUUCAAGGCCAGCCUCAGCAACUCUGCAACACCCUGUCUCAAAACAGAAUGUGAAGUGGGCUGUGGGUGUGUGUCGCUCGGUGGGUAAGCACCCUGGGUUCCGUGGAAGGGAGCGGGGACAGAUUCUGGGAGUGCACCCAAAGGAAUUGAAGCAAGGCCCAUAGGUGUUUAUAUCCAGGUUCAUAGCAUCCUUCUAGAGUCAAAGGCAGAGAACCCCGCGCCCAUCGACAGCUGAGUGGGUAAACAGAAGGUGGUUUGUCCAUACAAUGGAAUAUUAUUUAGUCUGAAAAAGGAAGGAAAUUCUGAUUAUACUAAAAUUGGAUGAGUCUUAAGGACAUUAUACUAAGUAAAAUGAGCCAGUCACAACUACACGAUACCGUGUGGUUCCACUAUAUGAAGUACCAAGAGGAGUCGGAGUCAUAGAGACCCAGUAGCAGUGGUUACUGGGGAGCGGAUUGUCGCGACCCCUCGCCGGCAAGGGAAAACACGACACAGGAUUCUUCUUUCAGCAGUUUAUUCAGGCCUUGUUUCAUGUAUCAUCUUCUAGUGACCCCCCCCCGCCGAGCACCCAAGCAUAGCCUAAUAAAGCCUCCCGUAUACCAAUCCCAAGCUGCCACGUGGAUCUCUCUCAUAGGGUGGUAAGGGAUUGUGCGCCAACUCUCCAAAAAAGGAGUUGUUUAUCACAGGCCACAGUGGAAGCCGGUGCCAUCUUCUAAUGGCGGCCACGGUCUAUAAGAAUGGCUCACCACAGUUCCCCCUUAUCUCUUAAAAAACAAUGCAGGCGAAAGUAGAGGUCCUAUCCCACUGUGCAAACAUGGCUGCAAUGUAUGGCUCAGUCCCAAGGAGGCGCCUUCCCUAGAUCUGACACCAUAUCAGCCGACGCCUUUUUUCGUGGGACGGGGCGUGGACGCCAAACCCGUAUGCAAUAGGACAUGCUUCCCUUGAGGUCUGCGAUCGGAUCACUCAAGUGCAGUGCCUUGCCUCGCAUCCUGCAUCGUGAUGACGGUGAAAAAGAAAGGGGAUUUUACAAGUAGCCGGUCAGUGACUAUGAGAUUGGAAGUGGCAACACCGUCUCUCAGCCCCUGAGAAAACGAAGGGUCCAAAGCAUAAAGUGCAGCACCAGCAUGGAAGCCCAUCUGCGUGCAAUGGCAACAAGGCCUGCAGAGUGCAUGGGCCUUCCAUAACUGGGAAGGCAGGAAGAGGAGGGCAUGCCAAUCCCAGUGCAAUGUCAAAGAUAACUUGGGGUGCAAUGGCCAAAACCCAGGAAAUUAUUGCUUAAGUUGCGCAAGCCAAAUUUGUGGAGAGAUACCAUUCUCUAGGGCUGCAAAAGCCUGGACGAUCAUAGCCUUUUCUUGGCUAUGACGAGCUCUUAGGCGACAGAAAAGCCACAGACAAAGGACAACCCCAAAACAACACAUCGCUCCAAAAAUGCGUACUCCCACCCAUUCCUUAAAGAAAGAAAAAGCAGAAGACAGCCAAUUCGUAAAUUGGCCCAAUGUCACAGGGUCCACACGAGUGUUGUUCAACAUGGCAAUUUGUGUCAGUUGGGUCUGGAUCAACUUCUCUGCUUCCAUGGACCAGUUUCCGGCCAGGUACUGUCCAAUGAUUUGAGAGGUAUUUCUGGAAUCAUUAAAUCUGAGAGAUGUUAUACAUAGAUGUGCACGAUGAUCAACACAACCCAAAUGUACUAGGUCUGACAAUUCCUCAAUCUGAGCUUGGAGGAGAUCCACCCUUUGAUUAACGGCCAAAAUUCCUGAUAAAAUAUGUUGAUUGAUUUUACUUUGAGACUCUAAAAUGCUGGAAGUUUGUUGGAUGACCUGAUUAACUGUGGCCGCAGUCUGCACUUGACUAGCCAUGGCCACUCCAGCAGUGACCGCUGCAGCAGCAGACACUGCGACCGCUGUCACAAUAGCUGCCGUGAUUCCAAAAUCCCUACGGCUCCUGAGCACCUCAAUAAUAGGGAAGGAGUCCGGAUCCGCAGUAACCGGAAUCGGGACGAAAGUCGGGACCUUCAUAACAACUGCCGUGCUCCAGGAUCCAUUCCAACACUCAGACAAGACACAUGUACAAUUAGAACAGUCAAUCAUUUCCGAUUCUGUAGUAUUGGUAUCAUUGAUCAAAAGGAACAGAAACGGAGAAUGAAGACAGACUGCUGCAGAGGGCAGUGUAGCAUUGGACACCUGAGAAUUGUAUGAAAUGUUUUUAAGUCUCCUACCAUUAACAGUGUCCUGUACAGAGCCAGACACAUUAAACAGCCAACUCUGGACUCCUCUCAAUUGAGCCAGAGCAGAGACAUCGGCUGUGGCCCCCUUUUCAUUGGAAAUCAACCAUUGAAACCAGGACCAACCCGCUCCUAUAGAGGAAUUAUUGUUGGAAGAAUUAUACAAGUACCUUUUGAGAGAGGGGGAAAGGGAAAAACCUUUGGCGACCUGAUGUUUCUCC